rnacentral:rRNA from 1 species
UACGAGGGGGGCGAGCGUUGUUCGGAAUUAUUGGGCGUAAAGGGUGCGUAGGCGGUUUGGUAAGUCUUGUGUGAAAUCUUCGGGCUCAACUCGAAGUCUGCAUGAGAAACUGCCGGGCUUGAGUAUGGGAGAGGUGAGUGGAAUUCCUGGUGUAGCGGUGAAAUGCGCAGAUAUCAGGAGGAACACCAAUGGCGAAGGCAGCUCGCUGGGACGUGACUGACGCUGAGACGCGAAAGCGUGGGGAGCAAACAG